rnacentral:rRNA from 1 species
GAUGAACGCUAGCGGCAGGCCUAAUACAUGCAAGUCGAACGAGAUUGAGGAGCUUGCUCCUCAUGAAAGUGGCGCACGGGUGCGUAACGCGUAUGCAAUCUACCUCAAUCAGGGGGAUAGCCCGGAGAAAUCCGGAUUAAUACCGCAUAACGUUAUUUUAUGGCAUCAUAGAAUAACCAAACAUUUAUGGGAUUAAGAUGAGCAUGCGUGACAUUAGUUAGUUGGUGAGGUAACGGCUCACCAAGACUACGAUGUCUAGGGGAUCUGAGAGGAUGACCCCCCACACUGGUACUGAGACACGGACCAGACUCCUACGGGAGGCAGCAGUAAGGAAUAUUGGUCAAUGGGCGCAAGCCUGAACCAGCCAUGCCGCGUGCAGGAAGACGGCCCUAUGGGUUGUAAACUGCUUUUAUUCGGGAAUAAACCUCUUUACGUGUAAGGAGCUGAAUGUACCGAAGGAAUAAGGAUCGGCUAACUCCGUGCC